GCCCGGAAUUAUUGCGCGUAAAGGGCGCGUAGGCGGGUAUUUAAGUCUGGUGUGAAAGAUCAGGGCUCAACCCUGAGAGUGCAUCGGAAACUGGGUAUCUUGAGGACAGGAGAGGAAAGUGGAAUUCCACGUGUAGCGGUGAAAUGCGUAGAUAUGUGGAGGAACACCAGUGGCGAAGGCGACUUACUGGACUGUAACUGACGCUGAGUCACGAAAGCGUGGGUAGCAAACAGGAUUAGAUACCCUGGUAGUCCACGCCGUAAACGAUGAGUGCUAAGUGUUAGAGGGUUUCCGCCCUUUAGUGCUGCAGCUAACGCAUUAAGCACUCCGCCUGGGGAGUACGGCCGCAAGGCUGAAACUCAAAGGAAUUGACGGGGGCCCGCACAAGCGGUAGGAGCAUGUGGUUUAAUUCGAAGCAACGCGAAGAACCUUACCAGGUCUUGACAUCCUCUGACACUCCUAGAGAUAGGACGUUCCCCUUCGGGGGACAGAGUGACAGGUGGUGCAUGGUUGUCGUCAACUCGUGUCGUGAGAUGUUGGGUUAAGUACCGCAACGAGCGCAACCCUUGAUCUUAGUUGCCAGCAUUCAAUUGGGCACUCUAAGGUGACUGCCGGUGACAAACCGGAGGAAGGUGGGGAUGACGUCAAAUCAUCAUGCCCCUUAUGACCUGGGCUACACACGUGCUACAAUGGGUGGUACAAAGGGUUGCAAAACCGCGAGGUCGAGCCAAUCCCAUAAAACCACUCUCAGUUCGGAUUGUAGGCUGCAACUCGCCUACAUGAAGUUGGAGUUGCUAGUAAUCGCGAAUCAGAAUGNCCCGGUGAAUACGUUCCCGGGCCUUGUNCACNCCGCCCGUCACACCAUGGGAGUGGGUUGCACCAGAAGUAGCNAGUCUAACCUUCGGGAGGACGGUUACC
rnacentral:rRNA from 1 species